AGUGAACGCUGGCGGCAUGCCUAACACAUGCAAGUCGAACGGCAGCACGGUAAGUGCCUGCUGUUGCGGGUGGCGAGUGGGGGACGGAUGAGGUAGAAAUCGGACUCUACUUUGUGGUGGGGCUGACGAAGGCAGACUUACUCUAACAUCGCAUACGAGCUACAAGUGGAGGCACGUGAGGUCCGGACCUUGCGGGGUUGGCUGAGGCGAUGGCGGAUUAGCUAGUUGGUGGGGUAAAGGCCUACCAAGGCGACGAUCCGUAGCUGGUCUGAGAGGACGACCAGCCACACUGGAACUGAGACACGGCCCAGACUCCUACGGGAGGCAGCAGUGGGGAAUUUUGGACAAUGGGCGAAAGCCUGAUCCAGCAAUGCCGCGUGUGUGAAGAAGGCCUUCGGGUUGUAAAGCCCUUUUGUCCGGAAAGAAAAGCUGCGGGUUAAUACGGUGGGGGUAUGACGGUACCGGAAGAAUAAGCACCGGCUAACUACGUG
rnacentral:rRNA from 1 species